GACGAACGCUGGCGGCGUGCUUAACACAUGCAAGUCGAACGGAAAGGCCCUGCUUUUGUGGGGUGCUCGAGUGGCGAACGGGUGAGUAACACGUGAGUAACCUGCCCUUGACUUUGGGAUAACUUCAGGAAACUGGGGCUAAUACCGGAUAGGAGCUCCUGCUGCAUGGUGGGGGUUGGAAAGAUUCGGCGGUUGGGGAUGGACUCGCGGCUUAUCAGCUUGUUGGUGGGGUAGUGGCUUACCAAGGCUUUGACGGGUAGCCGGCCUGAGAGGGUGACCGGCCACAUUGGGACUGAGAGACGGCCCAGACUCCUACGGGAGGCAGCAGUGGGGAAUAUUGCACAAUGGGCGGAAGCCUGAUGCAGCAACGCCGCGUGCGGGAUGACGGCCUUCGGGUUGUAAACCGCUUUCGCCUGUGACGAAGCGUGAGUGACGGUAAUGGGUAAAGAAGCACCGGCUAACUACGUG
rnacentral:rRNA from 1 species